AAGGGUAUAGCUCAGUGGUAGAGUACAUGCUUAGUGUGCAUGAGGUCCUGGGUUCAAUCCCCACCACCUCCA
rnacentral:tRNA from 1 species